UACUGGGCCGUAACUGACGCUGAGGGACGAAAGCUAGGGGAGCGAAAGGGAUUAGAUACCCCUGUAGUCCUAGCUGUAAACGAUGGAUACUAGGUGUUGGACGUAUCGACCCGUUCAGUACCGCAGCCAACGCGAUAAGUAUCCCGCCUGGGGAGUACGCACGCAAGUGUGAAACUCAAAGGAGUUGACGGGGGCCCGCACAAGCGGUGGAGUAUGUGGUUUAAUUCGAUGCAACGCGAAGAACCUUACCAGGGCUUGACAUCCCGCGAACCUUGAUGAAAGUCGAGGGUGCCUUCGGGAGCGCGGAGACAGGUGGUGCAUGGCUGUCGUCAGCUCGUGUCGUGAGAUGUUGGGUUAAGUCCCGCAACGAGCGCAACCCACGUCCUUAGUUGCCAUCAUUCAGUUGGGCACUCUGGGGAGACUGCCGGGGACAACUCGGAGGAAGGUGUGGAUGACGUCAAGUCAUCAUGCCCCUUACGUUCUGGGCUACACACGUACUACAAUGCUUCGGACAAAGGGCAGCCAACUAGCGAUAGUGAGCUAAUCCCAUAAACCGAGGCACAGUUCAGAUUGCAGGCUGCAACUCGCCUGCAUGAAGGAGGAAUCGCUAGUAAUCGCCGGUCAGCAUACGGCGGUGAAUACGUUCCCGGGCCUUGCACACACCGCCCGUC
rnacentral:rRNA from 1 species